UACCAUCCCAUUCCCUCCUUACCCGCCAAUGCUUCCUCCUGCCUUGCCAGCCGCAUGUGUCCUCACCUUUGUUCAUCAAUUCAUGUGCAGGUAUGGAUUGGUGAUGUUUUUGACGCCCAUAGAGCCAUUACCUCGUGCAUGUGUAUUUUGUGUGCCAGUUUACCAGUUAAUGAGUGAUAAUGUCCGUAUGAAUGUUUCAUCGUUUAGCAAGUGAUCAGCAACAGGCAUCUCUUACUUUUGGAUUGAAGUGCAGAUCUUGCUAAAGAGUUGACCAUGGAGUCAUUUAUGUAUUCUUAUGCCCCAAUGCUUCAUUAAGUAUUCUUAUUAUGCAAUAUGAAAUUAUUUCUUACCGUCUUCUAUUGUUUCCUCUGUUUUUCUCAGUUAUUCAGAGAACACCACAUGUUACAUGAAUUCUAGACUACUUUCCUAGAGGUAGUUGUUAGAAUCAUCUUCUUGAAUUUGCCUGCUUAGCAUCUAAUAUUUCACACUCGCCAAUUGUAAUAUCUCAUGCUUGCCAAUUUUUAGAAUCGGGUUCUUGAGUUUGCUUGCUUAACCGUGUCCCUGUGCAAUUGCUCACCAACCUCACCAAUUGUGAGUUUGUCCCACAUAGUGGAGUUUCUGUGAGUUUUUGUAGUCUAUAAAUUCUUGGAAGUUCUCUUGUUGCUGCUAUAAUGUGGGUGUGUUCGGCUUCCUUCUUCAUUUAAGGUGAAUCCUUGCUUCCAGGUUGGCCUAUGAAAUGAUGUAUUUUUUGCUGGAAAAUAAGUUGUUAUGCAA